UGCUGCCUACACGUUUUUUCGAUUACAUUGGCUCCGUGAAGUGCUAAACGAUGUUCGACUGCUUGUACGUACAUUUGCAAUUGCGGUCAUCAGAGUAUGCGACAACGAGAGCGUUUUUGCUAUACACUGAUGAACAAUGAACGUCACUGAAAGCCACUGGUUUUAAAAGCAGAUAACUUGCUAUGCUAAAAAUAUGAAAAAUAUUAUAUUAUAUAUAUAUAUAUAUAUUUAUAUGUAUAUAUACCUGUAUAUAUAGAAAACUAGUGGCUGAACGUUGUUGACCGUCAUCUUGCCUAGUCACACCGGAUUCUGAUGACCAAAUAUACCAGCAGGAACCAAAAUGUCCGAAGUUUGAAG